UCUCAGUGUCAUCUCCGAGUUUCACUGGACCUACAGCUGGUGGGCAGCCAUGGCCGGAAACCGAUGAGCCGCAGGCGAAAGGCUGCGACUUCCCGUAUUUGGAAAGGAACAUGACCAUGAACAAC
rnacentral:ncRNA from 2 species